AGCCCGCGCGGCGCGGCCCCGCCUCAGGGCAGCGGCGGGAGCGCGGCCGGGACCAAGCCGGGCUGCUCCUGCUCCUUCUCCUCUUUCUCCUCCUCCUCCUCAUUCUUCUCCUUCUCCUCCCGUUCCCUCUCCCGCCCGCCAGCGCUGCCUCGUUCCCUCAGGAGGUGUCUCCGAGCACGCAGGGUCGGCAGGGACGGACGGCGUUCCUCGGGAUUACCGAAAGCAGCACAAAUGUAAUAGUGGUUUUUUUGUUGUUGUUCAAGCGCGGCGAUUGGUUUCUUUUGACGUGACUGACAGCAUUUACCUGCCUCAGGUCUCCAAGUGGGUCUAUAAUGAGUAAAACUCGGGUUUAUUUAGAAGUUCGGUAGGGAUUGUAAAGGAAGGAUUUAGCAGUGUGUUCCUUUUGGCUGCAGAUCUCUGCUUUUCUUCUUAAAAAAAAAAAAAAAAAAGUUCUUAAAGCUGGGGAUAGUCAGAUUUGGGCACCCAGCUGAAUACUCUAAGCUGCAUCGUCAGUAGGAAGCGACCCGUUUUGGGUAAAGCGAAAGUACCGUAGUGUGCUAUACGGAUAGCAAAGAUAGAAUAAUGUCACACAUCUCUAUAACGUUUCAGCUUUACUUUGAAAUAUGGAGGAACAGACAAACGAGUUGAUACUUUGAAAAUAUCUUAAUAGAUACUUUGAGUGCUGGGGCUAAUAAAUCCCUACAUUAUUCUGGGUGAGUUCUGUGUCAUUGUAUAGCCACUUGCAGAAGGUGCUGCUUAGCUAAACAAACAAAUCAUAAAAUGGGAAUAACAGCAAAUAAUAACUGCUAGCAACUCCUGCUGUCCAGUUAGUUGAAGGAGUGUAUACCAUGACUUGGCUACAACGUCCUCUUUUAUCAGUCCAAAAAUCAGCUCCUUUGUAAGCGCUGAUCCCCUCAGUUGAUUGGGCAUAUCUUACAAAGAUACUUUGCUUACAAAUUGAAUCUCAGAAGGUUGUGGUUCCAGAGUCGGGGUUUUGGGGGCGAGAUGAGCUUAUGUUUUAUCCAACUGGCCCACAAAGUCCCGCUUUUGGUGGUCACUUUGUUCUGCAAAAGAAACCAGUGCAUUAUGGCUCUUACAGAGGACACUAACCUUACCACUAAACUACGGCCGUGCUCAGAAAGCUACUCACUACUGCACGCUUUAAAUAAGUAGCAAUAUCCUAACUUUACUGGUGUCAUCAGCAGUAAGAAGCGGAUAGAAAAUACUAGCAUUCCCCAAAGUUAAACAGAAAUAGUUUUCUGACUGUUGUUGUAGCCUGUAAAAACUUUUUUUUUCCUUAAAAACACAGCAAAGGCAAAGAAAAAGUUAUGUUUCAAAGGGUGGUUAUUUGACAUAAGUAAAUUGGGAGAAAAAAAGAAGACUUUUCUAGGAAAGAGAGGCAGCUUUAAACUUGAAACCAACAUACAGUCCUUAGGAACAUGCAUGCUGUCAGUCCCCUCCUCAGGUCUUUUGCUCACAAAAGGUUGCAGUUCUGAUGUUUCUCUCUCUUCAACUGACUUUUUGUUUUGUUUUGUUUUCAUUUUUGUUUUUGUUUGUUUUUUACUUGUGUGCCCACGUGCCUACAUGUGCAUGGUCUGUAUCUAUAAAUCAAUGUAAAGAUUACUAAUUGCUGUGCUGAGAGGAGCUGUGCAAUAUAUUUUUAUGAGUAAGUCUGAGCUUGGUAAAGCUGUUCAAUUCCACGCUACUAUUUAUUUUUUGCUAUCAAUAGUCUGAAGAAUCUCAGCAUAGUAUUUACUUCUAAAUGAUGUAGUUUUACUUUUUUAUGGGAUUCCAAUAGAUGUUUACCAUUUAUAGGUAAGCUGAGCUUUCUUGAGGCUCCAAAUAUAACAUAUAUAUUUAAGACAGAAUGAAACACAUGCUAAGUGAUAUUGUGUGAGAGAGUAUAAUGGCUCAUAUACAGAGCAAGCACACACAGGAGCAUCCUCUCGGUUGGUGUAAAUGUGCCUGUCAUAGCUUUGACAUUUUAUACUAGCUAAUCACCUGCUUACAUUACACGUGAAUAUCUAGACAUGGUACUCACGUUAAGCUUGCAGUCAGAUUCAUUUUAAGUGCUGAUCUACUCAAACCGAAUCGAUUCUAUUACUUCAAAAAGGCCUGGAAAUUCAGCUGGAGUUCCACAGCAGUGCUCUGCUAAAAAAGAAGUUGUUGGUAUGUGAUAUCUCACAUGACUGUGUGCAGGAUCUGUGUACUCAGGCAAAUGGAUAUUGUGCUGAAUUAUCAGUAUUUUUCUAUGGAAUUCUGGCCUUUUACAAUUUAUAGCUAUAUAAUCACUAUACAUAUGAAAUAGGACAUACCAAAACCUCAGUGCAACAAAUUACUCACUUGUUUAAAGCUGAAAUCUACCUUGGGAGAGCUUAGGUCAGAAUUGUGCUGCUAACAUGCCUUUUAGCCACUAUUCUGCAUGAAAUAAUGCAGCUCAAAAGCAGCAUUUAUGAGAAGGUUAAGUUUUCAGGAACCAAUUGAGCUACAAAUUUAACUGUAGAAAUAUCAUUUUUUUUAAUAAUAUAGUUUAUAUUUAAUAAUACUUAGUUUGUGAAUACAUUACAGAUAUAUCCAGUACUACAAGCUGUCAGAUUUGGACUGGUUUGACUCCUAUGGCCUCUUCGCUAGUCUUCUGAGAAUACUCUGCUCUGCUGCUUGUUUCUAAGAGGUGAAUUGUAAACCCUGAGUGAGUAAAAUGAGAGCUAAAGGAAAAAUGUGUUUAAUCUCUCGGGGAACCUAGUGACUGAAGACAAAUAAUCCUCACUAGAAACUGAACCAGGGAGAAACCUUCUGCUUCCAACUCUGAUCAGAUAUACCAAAAAUGAAGUCUCCAGGAGAUAGGAACAACAUUCACAGCUGUUUUCUUAACAUCACAGGAAACAAUAAAACAUUAAUAAAAAAUAAGGUCAAGAGAGAACUACAGAACUGUUCUUCAGUGAGGUCUAAGUGGCCAAUUUUUUCCACCUGGGACACCAAGUCAAAACAUUUGUUAUUAAAGAAGUGUAAUUUGCUCACUGUGACUCACAUGCUAAAAUUCCAGUAAGAUCUACUUAAAAAUACAUUUGUAUUUGAAGCUUGAAUCUCAAGGGAGAAAAAUGAGGAAGAACAAAGCUUAGUGAAAUAUGAGGUUCAGGUAUCUUUUGGAACUCUGUGAUCAUUUAGAAAAAAGCCCUUCACUUCAGGAUGGCAAAGUCAACAUCUGAGAUGAAAAUCUUUCACUGAAUUAUCACUUUUGUAUACCAAAAGCAUGCAACAACAGCAGUCACUGUGUACAAACUUUUAAAAAAAAGCUGUCCUAAAGGACAGAUUGUCAAAGUCAGGUAUGAAAAUAUUAGGCACUGAAAGGUUUUUGUGCAGCCCUACAUAUCACCUUAUUCUGUUUAUUCAGUAAUCCAACAAAAGAGUGAUUCAUCUCAAGGCUAAUAGUUGAGCUGAACUGAAGCUUGUAACAAAAAUAAAUCCCUACCUUUGGAAUAUCUUUAUCUGUUUUUUUUUUAAUAUUUUAAUUGGUAAGAAUUUGUGAAGGACAUUAAAGCGUUCCUGUUCCAGCUACAAAAUCUACAAUAUCAAGUCCCACAAUCCAACAGUAAAAAUAAGACCAACAAUUUAAUGAUACACACAAAAUCUUUCAGUAUUUUGUCAGGUAGUGUAACACAAUGAGUAAUUUCUUACUGUGAAAUACCUGAAACCAAUCAUUUUGCAAACCAGCUCCUUCCACUCAGUGAUUGUAACACAUGUACCUUUAGAUGCAAAGCGCACUCCAGCAGAACUCUCAGACCUUCACAAGCCUUCAGAGUUCUCAACAAGCAUGAAGGUAAAGAUGACAGUCACUAGUUCUUUGUGUCUCAGAAAAUUCUAAGUGGUAUAUCACCUACCUUAGAAAAAAGAGGCCACAUACCCAUUGCCACUUAUACCCACAUUCUGUAGCAUGUGGAGUUACCACCUUUUCCUUCAUCAAAAUUCCCAAACUUUUAAUAAAAUGUGAUGAUGCGAAAGCUUUUCAAAAAAGCCACAAGAAUAUAUUACAAAGGUAACCUGUAAGGUAACACAAGUGUCAGGGUUGCUGAUCAGUACUUUACAAAGGAAAAAAAGUGUUUUAGAAAGUUUGGGAUUCGUUUUGGUUCUGGACAUGCACACAACACACAGAAGCAUCAAAGACACCACAGAAUAUCAGCAGCUGUCAAUCUGAGGAGACCAAGACUAAGCAAACUGUUUUUUAUGUACACCUCCUCAUUUUUUCACAUAAUGUUCGGUUGAUGAAUGCAAUACAAAUCAUGAUUAAUGAAAACUAAAUGGAUAUAAUAGAUUCUUUCAUAAGAUUAUGUAUUGUACUUUGUCAUAUGUGCUAUGUGUCACCUUUUAGCAGUAACAGUGUGUCCUUAUUAAAUUGCAGACAUUACCAAAAAAAACCUGUAAGAUUAAAGUGUACAUUCUUCUUAGCAACUGAAUCCUACCAAGAUAUAAUUAUGUUAAGUAGCCUAGUGACUAAACAAAAUGCUGUCUAACAUUUGUUCUGGUAAACAGAUUUGUUCUGUUUCUGAAAAAGAACCAAAUUCAUCUCUGUUCCAAAACAAUUUACACGAAUUACAACAAUAAAUGAGUUGGCUUAAAAAAAGUAUAUGAUAUACAGCUUAUUUGUGGGAGUUAUUUCUUAGAUCAGUAUCUUUCUAAUCUGUUGACAUAAUUCUAAAUUAUUACUUAUCUAAACUUAAUGGUGAGACACAUGAAUUAUAAUUCUUUCAAAAUACUAUUUCAUUAUCAGAAAUAACCCUCCUAGGUGGAUGCUAGCUGAACUGGGCUUACACACUAACGGUUUUCAUAUCUGGGGAAAUGCCUUUUAUAAAGCAGACUGAGAAAAGUAACCACAGAACCACAUUUGCAUAAAUGGGAUGUCCAUUUAGCCCGCUUUAGUCUCAUGCACACCACACACCAGUAAUUCUUCCUGACACAGCCGCCUGCUUCAGGCAGCCAACGCAGCGUCCUGGAGUUGUGAGCCCACUCCCGGGCAGUCACCGCCUCUUCUGCUGCGUCUGUGCAAUCCAGCUGCUGUCGUGGAGUGCUGUGGGCAGGCUCCUGCCAUGCCAACAGCUAAUGGGGGUUACUUCUAAAAUAACUGAGCAGGAACCGAGACUGUUCAAACCUUUUGUCCAGCCACUGAUUGUGCAUGUUGACUUGGGAGAGAUUACACUGAUUUAUGUCAGAAUUGGGCUGAACAGAAGAGACUCUUCUGUGGUGUGUUGCUGUCGUUUUUUCUAAGGAUCAAUAGCAUCACUAUCCCUCUCUGAGAUAAUUAUGGAAAUUUAGCUAAUGGAGGCAUAAGAAGACAAGUU